GCCCAUACAAAUGUAUUGUUAUAUAUAAUAGGAAACAUAUGCAGUACAAUCAUAUUAUUAUUAUUACUGGCAUUUAUAAAGCGCCAACAAAUUCCGCAGCGUUGUACAAUUGGGAAAAAGACAAACACAAUAAGAACAGACUGAUACAACUGGUAGAGGACCCUGAUCGUAGAUAUAUUAUUACACUUGUAAUAUGCAUAUGCAAUACAACUAUUAAAUUAGCAACAGGUGCAGUUACGUUUUAAUUUAAGUUAGGUGGAUGUCAUUUUUAGGGUCUUCAGACUGGUGGCAAAUGUGUUAUUCUGGGACAGGUUAUUCCAUGUAUAUAGAAAUAUAUAGGAGAAAACGUUGGUCACCCACCCAUUGUAGAUGGUGGAUGCAAAGUAUGGAACCAGAAGUAAAAUGAAGGUCAGAAGGUGGACAGGCAGCAUGGGAGACUUCUCAGAGAAGUGGCUAUGACCCAGACAAAAAAAAAGGUGAAGUUAGCAAAUUUAGUUGUUUAACAAAUUACAACGAUGGAUACUGUAGUUAUGUGAAAGAAAAUAAAAUAUUACCCGUAACAUUGUCUAAGUAACUAUUUUUAAUGGAUAUGUAUAAGUUAACUCUCAAGUGUAUCUUGUGGCUUACUGUUGCUUGCUGACUGAGUGGUGCUAUCAGAAGACCAUGCAAAGUUAGAAUAUAUGAAUCUGUAAAAUAGUCCAUUUGUUUUAAAUAGCCUAUGAUUGUGCAUGAUGUCAAGGUUUGUUACUAGCUCUUGAUAACCAGGCUAGUUUUUGGUCGAUUACAUGGGUUUUAUGACCCAAAAAGGACUUAGAGAUUGCUAUCUGCCAACGGUAAGGGUACAGCAAGAAAUGUAGUGAAAAGUAAGUACCCUAUAUACUCGAGUAUAAGUCGAGCCGAAUAUAAGUCCAGACCCCUACUUUUACCCCAAAAAACUGGGAAAACGUAUUGACUCAAGUAUAAGACUAGGGUGGGAAAUGCAGCAGCUACUGGUAAAUUUCUAAAUAAAGUUAUAUCAAUUAAAUAUUUAUUUACAGUGUAUGUAUAUAAUGAAUGCAGUGUGUGUGUGUGUGUGUGUGAUGCAGAGCCUUGGUGGGGGGUGGGCAUUUUUAUUAUUUU
rnacentral:lncRNA from 1 species